UACGGAGGGGGCGAGCGUUGUCCGAAGUUACUGGGCGUAAAGCGCGCGUAGGCGGGGAGCCAAGUCCGCUGUGAAAGCCUGAGGCUUAACCUCAGCGGGUCGGUGGAUACUGGUUCUCUUGAAGGCGUUAGGGGGAGAUGGAAUUACCGGUGUAGCGGUGAAAUUCGUAGAUAUUCGGAGGAACACCAGUGGCGAAGGCGGCUCGCUGGCUCGAUACUGACGCUGAGGUGCGAAAGCGUGGGGAGCAAACAGG
rnacentral:rRNA from 1 species